AUUGAACGCUGGCGGCAGGCCUAACACAUGCAAGUCGAACGGUAACAGGAAACAGCUUGCUGUUUCGCUGACGAGUGGCGGACGGGUGAGUAAUGUCUGGGAAACUGCCUGAUGGAGGGGGAUAACUACUGGAAACGGUAGCUAAUACCGCAUAACGUCGCAAGACCAAAGAGGGGGACCUUCGGGCCUCUUGCCAUCGGAUUUGCCCAGAUGGGAUUAGCUAGUAGGUGGGGUAACGGCUCACCUAGGCGACGAUCCCUAGCUGGUCUGAGAGGAUGACCAGCCACACUGGAACUGAGACACGGUCCAGACUCCUACGGGAGGCAGCAGUGGGGAAUAUUGCACAAUGGGCGAAAGCCUGAUGCAGCCAUGCCGCGUGUAUGAAGAAGGCCUUCGGGUUGUAAAGUACUUUCAGCGGGGAGGAAGGGAGUAAAGUUAAUACCUUUGCUCAUUGACGUUACCCGCAGAAGAAGCACCGGCUAACUCCGUG
rnacentral:rRNA from 1 species